UUUGCCUAUAAAACUUCUUCCUCUGCUACCUCCUUCAAUCCGAUCCCCCUUUUCCUAUAAAAAACAUAACUUAAAAUUCAAAUGUAAUAGGCUACAUGUUACAACGUCUAGGCUCUAUUGAGGAGAAGUCACUAGACGUCAUGUGUGGAUGUAUAUAUUGAAGAAACACAUUAGUCUCUCCUCCACUCGCAGAGUGGGUGUAUAGAGGUGCAUCGAGAUAACAUCAAGAGUAAGGAUGUCGAGCGCACCGAAAAGGGACGUCGAGUGCACCGUACAGAUACCACAAACGUGGUUAGAGGUGCUAACAAACUCGCUCAGCAAGUGUCUAUCAUAGUAUCUAGAGCAUACCUUAGAUGCCGCCUCACCAACUCUACAGUAGCUAGGAAAAAGAAGGCAGAAUGUCAGGAGGGGUCCCCAUACCGUCAAUUGGUUGUCCAUCUUGCUCCACCACUCUUUCCUUCCAUAUGUAAGGAAAAGAACAACCUUAAUUGAGGCAUCAAUACCUUAAAGAUGAAGAUGUAGGUGGCACCUGCAUCGGCAUCAACAUGCUCCAAAAAUCAUCUUUACCUCGAGUUCAUAGGUGCUCGAUUUUUUCCCCUUUCCAACAUGGGAAUAACCUCAACUAUACCUAGGUGAAUACUUCAAUUAUCAAAUAUUAGUGAAAUAUCAAUAAGCAUAGGUAAGUAAGUAUCGAUAAAACGUCAACAAAAUAUAUGAGUCAGUAUCGGUAAAAUAUUGCAAAUAUUACCAACUUUUCACCAAUAUAUCCCUUUUCCAAUUUUCUGUAGAAACGACUCUCUCCACUUCAGUAUCGAUAUAUUACAACUUUAUCGAUAUACUGACAAUAUAUCAGUCCAUAUUUUCAUUCCUUGAA